rnacentral:lncRNA from 1 species
ACCAUUAGACUUUAAUUUUAACCUAUUGCACUCUUUAACUUCUAUUUGUAACUAAUUUCACUCUUAAUCAGUAAUACUGACUAAUUUAACCAUAAAUGGGACAACAUGGAUUAGCACAUGGUUUAACUUGCUUUGAAGCACAUGAAAGGUUUUUAAAUUGAUGAUGUGGCCAGACACGUGGAUUAUAAUGGAAAAAAGUGACAACGUAAGAAAAUGGCCGCAUCAGCAAUAAAAUCCUGUCUUCCUCUCUCUUACUUUCUCAUUAUGGAUUUAUCCUUCUUUUCCCUCUCUCUUGGUCUCUCAUUAUCGAUUUGAAAUUAUUUUUUAACGUGAGUUCCAUAAGAAAUACUGUUGAUUCUUUGAUUUUGUGAAAGAAGAAAUUAGGGCAGAAGCUAAAUGGUUGUUUCAAUGUGCAAUUGUGGGGAAGUUGGUACUUUCAAGACAUCAUGGACAACAGAAAAAUCCAGGAAGAAGGUUUUUUAGCUGCAGGAACUAUGGAGUAAAUAUAUUAGCUAAAAGUGGAUUUAUUUGUCUAAGUUUAGGUUUAUUUAUCAACUAUUUUUUGUUAUUUUACAGACUUUUAGAAGCUUGUAACUAUUUCAUGUGGCUUGACAAUCCCCAUACCAGAGCAAUCAGGACAUGUGAUUUUAGGGCUUUUAAGAAGGAUUAGAAAGAUUAGGGUAGAGAGAGAAAGAGAACGAGCAAAUCACUAUGGGGUUAAGAAGUUGAUAUUUGUUACAAUUGUUAUAGGAUCUACUAUGUAUUUUGGAAGUCAAUUGUGAUAAUUGAUGUGUUUUGAUUGUAAUGUAGGACUCAACCCUAUGUUCAUUGUUGCCCUCACUUACCCUUGCCUCAACAUUAAUUCUACCACUUGUCUCGUUUUGUCCUUGGACAUUCAGGUCAUCUUGUCCUAGUGGGCCAUCUUGGGUUGAAAAUUGUGGAUGUUCAACAGUGUGAGCCACAUACAAGUCCAUUAUAUGCCCAUCCUUAAGGGUUUGUGCUACUUUUAUAGAUAAAUAAAUUUACUUCCAUUCUUAGGCUUUUACUAAACUCCUUCCAUAGAAGUAUACCCAAACUUCCUUGUAUACCACAUUGGUUCUGAUAUAGACAGCUUAUCAACGUCAGAAUACUUAAUGCUUACAUUUCCA